UUUGGCUUCCAUCUGUAGCAGAUCGUAGCCCCGUUUUUUGAAGAGCCCCCUAGGUGUUGCACGAGCACUGGGUGUUUCUAGCCACUGAUUCCAGUAGAAGUCGUCUGUGAACCCGGGUCCGUGCACACUGACCACAGUGCGUAGCCAGGCCCACAGUGAAGCAAAACCAAACUGCAAGUGGGGAUGCUGUGUGUCCCCACGGCCCCAUUUAAAAGGUCUCCUUUGGGGGCCCCUGGGAGGCUCAGACAGUAAAACGUCUGCCUUCGGCUCAGGUCACGGUGUCAGGGCCUGGGAUCGAACCCGCACUGGGCUCUGUGCUCAGCAUGGAGCUGCUUCUCCUUCCCCUCAGCUCCCUGCUUGUUUUCUCUCUCUCUCUCUCUCAGGACUCCCCGUGAUGGGAUGUGAGCACAGAAAGACGAUCGCUGCUUCGGCCCAUGGGCACAGGAGAGGCAGCAGGCCGGCCGCCCAGAGCUGCCCUCUAGGGACAAAGACAGCACCCAGUUUUAGAUUUGUAGCAAAAUGGAGCCGAAGGAAGAGAGCUAGCCCGCGUGCCCGCUCCCCGACCCAGGCACCGCCGCCUGCCGUCAGCACUCAGCCCGAGGGCAGCCCUGCACGGACGUGAUGUCAUUGCCCGAAGGCCAGAGCUUACUGCGGGACUUACUCUGGGCGUUGGGCACGUUACGCUUCCGACAAACGUAUGCUGAGAUUUGUUUAUUCUAGAGAAAGAGAGUGUGAGCGUGACGGGGGAGAGAGGAUCCGAAGCGGUCUCUACGCCCAGCACAGAGCCCGAUGCAGAGCUCGAGCUCAUGACCCCGGGAUCAGGACCUGAGCCGAAGCCAAGAGUCAGCAGCUCAACGGCCUGAGCCGGCCCCACGUCCCAGAGCUCUUGACCGUCUCCCUCGAUGUCUCUUCUCCAGGAUGUCACAGAGUCGGAACCACCAGGGAGACUUUCAGGACUGGCUUCUCUCGCCUGGUAAUAGACCCUUGAGCUCCUCCGUGUCUUUUUCACGGCCGGAGAGCUCAUUCCGUUCCCGCACGGAACCGCAUUCUCCUGCCUGGGCGGACCGCCGUUGGCUCUUCUGUUCACCCGGGGAAGGACGUCCUGGCUGCUCCCAGGCCUUGGCAGUGGUGAAGCACGCGGCCGUCCGCACCCGUGUGUGGGCUUCCGGGUGCACAUCGGAGCUCGGCCCCUCUGCGUGAGCAUCAGCAGCCUGACCUGCCGGGCCCCGGGGGAGGAGGGCGUUUAAUUUUGAGAAAUUGCCAGACGGUCGUCCACAGUGUGGCGGGCGGUCCUUCCGCCUUCCCCGGCACAACCACCCCUGCCAGCACGGGUGUGGUGAGUGUCGCAGGUUAUGGCCUUGCUAAUGGUCGUGCGGUGUGAUUCCCCUUGUGGUUUUACGGAAUCGGCUUUUAGGGGAUGCGGUGACAUGGAGAGGAAGCCAGUUUUUUUUUUUUUUUUUUUUUUUUUUAAGAUUUUAUUUAUUUAUUUAAGAGACAGAGCAUGAGCACAGCAAGCAGGGGGAGCAGCAGAGGCAGAGGGAGAAGCAGACCCCCUGUGGAGCAGGGAGCCUGAUGCGGGACUCGAUCCCAGGACCCUGGAACCAUGACCGGAGCUGAAGGCAGAUGCUUCCCCGACAGAACCACCCAGGCCCCCAGGAAGGCUGUUUUUGUAAGACAGACGUGAGGAGGGCAUCGGCAGACUGGGCUAGCUUGGAAGUGAGUGGAGCAGCCAGAUCCUGCGCAGGGGGAGCGCUCCAGGGGCACCCAGAGCAGCAGGGACUUGCCAGCAUGGCCGUGGGGCUGGGACGCAGGCCUGCUUGUCUGAGACUACGGGUCACUGGCCCGUCCUGGUCCCCAUGGUUGUCCCCUGCCCUGCCCUUGGCCGGUACGAAUGCCUCUUUGGAGGUUUGGGGAGCGGCUCGGCGGGAGGCGGGGUUUAGGGGCGCCCACUUCCUGCGUCCUGUGGGACACAGAGCUGGAAGCUGCCCUUGAAGCAAACUCUCAACUCCCAAAGCCACUCUUUGAGUGGUGAGCUAAUCUCUCCUCUUGGAGGGACUCCCAGACUGUGUCCCCCUCGCGCACAGGGAGCGGAGAGACGGAGACAGAACGCGGUUUGAGCCACAGCGGGGAGAGGCGGCGGCUGGCUUAGUCGGGGCCAACCAGCUUAGGUGCCGCCGGCACAGCCCACAGGUGUUCCUGGGGGGCUCCACGAGAAGUGGGGGGCACGCCUCUACUCAUUCCAAGGACAGGGUGAGUCCAGAUGUGCAAAGACAAGCAAGCAGCUAGGAAGAAGAAUAAAAAAGGGGAGUGAAUCCGACGGGAAGGAAACAGCUCACCCGGCUGCGACACCGGCAGGUACCCUGCCCACAAGAGGACAGGUGACAGCUGGGCACCAGAGAGGAGGGUUGCCCGAGGCGAUGGAGUCUCGCUGUGCCAGAAGGUCAGGCUGCUCAGCACAGCCCGAUCUGCUCAGCUGGGGGAUUCAACUGGGAGACACAGUGGCUGGAAGCCCUGCCCAGCCUGAGGGCAACCUGUUUGUAACAAACAAACAAACAAACACCGCAUUUUGUUCUUCAAUCCGAAUGCCUCCCGCGACCCUAAGUGCACACAAGCUCCGGGACAGCCUUGCUGGGGUUGGGUGCCAGGCGCCCCUCCAAGGGAGGCAUAGCUGCCCCCGUGGUCUUGGGACGACCGUCUCCUGUUGGGGUCUGACCCAGCAUGCUUGCUUGGACAUACAUGGCCCACUGGGGCGUUUUCCCGAGGCCCCUGGAAUGAAAACUACUGGGUGACCCCAUCUCCUUCAGCCUGACGUUCCGAUUUCCUGCUCCCAGAGUGUGGGGAGCGAGCGGCUGCUGUGGCGCUCUGGCCUUCUUGGAGAGAGGGGCCUGGAUCCGCAGGGUCACUGCGGACCUUUGCCAAGCACGGAGUGAAUGAGGGAGACCAGCUGCUCUGAGCCCUGGACGCCGGCCAGCGCCACGAGGGCAGGGUGUCUCUAAACCGAGGAUGGCACGGCACCGACGCCCAAGCCACCUCUCCCCCUGCCGCCUCCUUGAUCACAGGCCUGGUCCGGAAGCAGCCGGGGAAUCCGUCUCCACGCUUGCCGAGAGCACCCUUCCAGACCGUGGGUGGACAUUCUAGACCAUCUGUAUGGCUGGACCAGUGAGGAGGUGUCUUGCAAGCCACCAGUCCUCGCGGCGGGAGUGAGAGCAGAGGGCACGUGGGUGGCCGCUAUGGUCCUGGAGCCUGUGUUCCAGAUGGGGACACCGAGGCGCACACGGAUCAGGCGACUUGCCUCGGAUCCCCGGCUGGUAGGUACGGAGCAGGGCUGGGGACAGCUCCUCUGUUCCUGUCCACGGGGACUUCUCCAAGGAGGGUCCGUUGUUGGUCCCUUCGAGUCCAGUUUUAUCACACUGGGGACACUUCACUUUAGGAAAAACCUCACAUUCUCAGGACCAAGGCUGAGGCCGCUGAGGCUCCCGGUCUCCCCAUGGGGUAGAGGAAGGCAGACAGACAUCUUGCAGCCUGGAAGAGGGUUUCCAGGGGAGCAGCGGGUUAAAGCCUCAGAGGUGGUCUGUGAAAUCCCAGGGACUCCAGCGGAAUCACGUCGUUGCCAGGACGGCCUCGCUGCUCAAGCACGUUGCUGUUGCUCGAGUCUCACACGCCGGCAGUACGGGAGACGCACGUGCGCAGCCCGGACCGGUGCUGCCCCCGGGCUCUGGUUUCCCUAGGCUGGUGUGAGUGUUGGAUGCGGCGGGGUGAGCACUGGGCCUCCGCUUGUCCCCUCCCCCACCGCGCUUGGUGCCCUUGGCGACAGGGACAGGCUCUCUCAGGCGCCGGGGACGGGACAGACGCGUCUGUCCCCAUGGUCUGCAGCUGUGCAGCAGCCACCCCAUACUUGGAGGUUUAGAGCAAAGUCACUCAAUUGCCGCGGUUUGUGGAUGGGGAAUUCGGGCAAGACGGGGCGCAGCGGGGCCUCUGCAGCUCCUGGAGCGGACCGAGGUCACCUGGUGAUCCCCCUUUCGUGGGGGGCUGGCCUGGCGGAGCCCGGACCAUUUCACUCAUGUGCCCAGGCCCUCCCUGGGGGCAGCGGGCCUCUCCCAGGG